rnacentral:snoRNA from 1 species
UUCUAUGAUGAAACAUCACCUUUUAUUUUAUUUUUUCUGGUACCUCUUAUGUCAGGGUUAGAUCCUUGUGGUCGAGCCCGAUGAUCUAAAUGGACUUCUGAUA